CCUACGGGUGACAGCAGUGAGGAAUAUUGGUCAAUGGACGAGAGUCUGAACCAGCCAAGUAGCGUGAAGGAUGACUGCCCUAUGGGUUGUAAACUUCUUUUAUAAAGGAAUAAAACGAGGCACGUGUGCCUUUUUGCAUGUACGUUAUGAAUAAGGAUCGGCUAACUCCGUGCCAGCAGCCGCGGUAAUACGGAGGGUCCGAGCGUUAUCCGGAUUGAUUGGGUUUAAAGGGAGCGUAGAUGGGUUGUUAAGUCAGUUGUGAAAGUUUGCGGCUCAACCGUAAAAUUGCAUUUGAUACUGGCAGUCUUGAGUACAGUAGAGGUAGGCGGAAUUCGUGGUGUAGCGGUGAAAUGCUUAGAUAUCACGAAGAACCCCGAUUGCGAAGGCAGCUUACUAAACUGUGACUGACAUUGAUGCUCGAAAGUGUGGGUAUCAAACAGGAUUAGAUACCCGUGUAGUC
rnacentral:rRNA from 1 species